GACGAACGCUGGCGGCGUGCUUAACACAUGCAAGUCGAACGGAAAGGCCCCUUUGGGGGUACUCGAGUGGCGAACGGGUGAGUAACACGUGAGUAACCUGCCCUUGACUUCGGGAUAACUUCAGGAAACUGGGGCUAAUACCGGAUAGGAAUCCUUGCUGCAUGGUGGGGGUUGGAAAGCUUCGGCGGUUUUGGAUGGACUCGCGGCUUAUCAGCUUGUUGGUGGGGUAGUGGCUUACCAAGGCUUUGACGGGUAGCCGGCCUGAGAGGGCGACCGGCCACAUUGGGACUGAGAGACGGCCCAGACGCCUAGGGGAGGCAGCAGUGGGGAAUAUUGCACAAUGGGCGGAAGCCUGAUGCAGCAACGCCGCGGGCGGGAUGACGGUCUUCGGGUUGUAAACCGCUUUCAGCAGGGGCGAAGCUUGUGGUGACGGUACCUGCAGAAGAAGCACCGGCUAACUACGUG
rnacentral:rRNA from 1 species